rnacentral:sRNA from 1 species
GAGAUGAUUGGAGGCUGUUGCGUUUGCUCAGACGAGAGAGGCUGGGCCGAGAACCCGCUGGUUUAUUGCGACGGGCACGGCUGCAGCGUCGCGGUGCAUCAAGCUUGCUAUGGCAUUGUUCAAGUACCCACUGGACCAUGGUUUUGCAGGAAAUGUGAAUCUCAGGAGAGAGCAGCCAGAGUGAGAUGUGAACUUUGUCCCCAUAAGGAUGGAGCUUUAAAAAGAACAGAUAAUGGGGGUUGGGCCCAUGUGGUUUGUGCCCUGUAUAUUCCAGAGGUACAAUUUGCCAAUGUUUCCACAAUGGAACCAAUUGUUUUACAGUCUGUUCCGCAUGAUCGUUAUAAUAAGGUACAGUGGAUAUUAUUUUAUUACUGUUUGAAUAUCACUACUGGGAAGUAGAAAGGAAGUUUUUGUGUUUUUAAAAUCACAGGUCUCCAUCAAAUUCAGGGAGGUUUGGAAAAAAAAUUACUACUCCAAACUGCAGUUAUUA